CGAAGAGCAAAGAGAUAAUACAGUACUCCCAGCUAUAGCAAGCGGCAGUUAUGGAGCAUGCGCAGCAGCAGGGGCGGCCGCAGGUCGCCGUUCAAUAAUACUCAAGGGAUUUGUACAGCCCUGUAGGAGACACCUCCAGAGAAAGUAACAGCUCUCAAUUGAUUAGCUGAGAAGCCUCAGGGGCUGGAUCCUGACAUGAACCAGACACCUCCAGAAUUCUAUCCCAAGCAAAAGAUUAUUUCAAGGCCAGAACUCACUCCCUGCUGGAGACUGACUACAAGAUCCACUGAGAUUGAUGUGUAACCUGAUUGGGCCCACAGUGAUGCUAGCCCCUUCACCAGAUGGAACAAUAAUUCCAGACAAGCCAUCAGAGCAGAGAGCAGAGAAGAGGAGAAGCAGCUGGAUGUCAGAGACUGCAGUUUGACGUUGGAGAAAAGCAGCUUGACUUCAGAGGGACAGCUUGACAGCAUGGAUUCAGAGAGGAGAAGAUCACCUUCCUGCUCCGUCCCCUUUCCAGCUCCCUUUCCCACUGAGAGCCACUUACACAGGCAAUAAAAUCCUCUGCAUUCACCACCCUUCAAU
rnacentral:lncRNA from 1 species